AACCUUGAAUCUGGGAGACACGGUUGG
rnacentral:sRNA from 1 species